ACGAACGCUGGCGGCGUGCUUAACACCUGCAAGUCGAACGGAAAGGCCCUGCUUUUGUGGGGUGCUCGAGUGGCGAACGGGUGAGUAACACGUGAGUAACCUGCCCUUGACUUUGGGAUAACUUCAGGAAACUGGGGCUAAUACCGGAUAGGAGCUCCUGCUGCAUGGUGGGGGUUGGAAAGUUUCGGCGGUUGGGGAUGGACUCGCGGCUUAUCAGCUUGUUGGUGGGGUAGUGGCUUACCAAGGCUUUGAUGGGUAGCCGGCCUGAGAGGGUGACCGGCCACAUUGGGACUGAGAUACGGCCCAGACUCCUACGGGAGGCAGCAGUGGGGAAUAUUGCACAAUGGGCGGAAGCCUGAUGCAGCAACGCCGCGUGCGGGAUGACGGCCUUCGGGUUGUAAACCGCUUUCGCCUGUGACGAAGCGUGAGUGACGGUAAUGGGUAAAGAAGCACCGGCUAACUACGUG
rnacentral:rRNA from 1 species